rnacentral:rRNA from 1 species
CGUCAGUCUUUGUCCAGGGGGCCGCCUUCGCCACCGGUAUUCCUCCAGAUCUCUACGCAUUUCACCGCUACACCUGGAAUUCUACCCCCCUCUACAAGACUCAAGCUUGCCAGUUUCAAAUGCAGUUCCCAGGUUGAGCCCGGGGAUUUCACAUCUGACUUAACAAACCGCCUGCGUGCGCUUUACGCCCAGUAAUUCCGAUUAACGCUUGCACCCUCCGUAUUACCGCGGCUGCUGGCACGGAGUUAGCCGGUGCUUCUUCUGCGAGUAACGUCAAUCGCUAAGGUUAUUAACCUUAACGCCUUCCUCCUCGCUGAAAGUACUUUACAACCCGAAGGCCUUCUUCAUACACGCGGCAUGGCUGCAUCAGGCUUGCGCCCAUUGUGCAAUAUUCCCCACUGCUGCCUCCCGUAGGAGUCUGGACCGUGUCUCAGUUCCAGUGUGGCUGGUCAUCCUCUCAGACCAGCUAGGGAUCGUCGCCUAGGUGAGCCAUUACCCCACCUACUAGCUAAUCCCAUCUGGGCACAUCUGAUGGCAUGAGGCCCGAAGGUCCCCCACUUUGGUCUUGCGACGUUAUGCGGUAUUAGCUACCGUUUCCAGUAGUUAUCCCCCUCCAUCAGGCAGUUUCCCAGACAUUACUCACCCGUCCGCCGCUCGUCACCCGAGAGCAAGCUCUCUGUGCUACCGCUCGACUUGCAUGUGUUAGGCCUGCCGCCAGCGUUCAAU